GAGGGUGUGACUUAGUGGUAGAGAGGGUGCUUGGUGUGCACGAGGUCCUGGGUUCAAUCCCCAGUGCCUCCA
rnacentral:tRNA from 1 species